UCGGACACAGCUCAGUAGCACAUGGCUAACCUACCCUUGGGACGGGAGCAACCCCGGGAAACUGGGGCUAAUCUCCGAUAGGUGAAGACUCCUGGAAUGGAUUUUCGCUCAAAGGGCGCUUAGGGCAUGCUUCUAAGUGUUGCCCAAGGAUGGGGCCGCGGCCGAUCAGGUUGUUGGUGAGGUAAUGGCUCACCAAGCCUUUAACCGGUGCGGGCCGUGGGAGCGGGAGCCCGGAGAUGGGCACUGAGACAAGGGCCCAGGCCCUACGGGGCGCAGCAGUCGCGCAAACUUUGCAAUACACGAAAGUGUGACAGGGCUAUCCCGAGUGCCGUCCGCUGAGGAUGGCUUUUACCCAGUCUAGAACGCUGGGGGAAUAAGGAGAGGGCAAGUCUGGUGUCAGCCGCCGCGGUAAUACCAGCUCUCCGAGUGGUGUGGAUGUUUAUUGGGCCUAAAGCAUCCGUAGCUGGCCAAGCUAGUCCCUUGUUAAACCCACCGAACCAAUCGUUGGAUCGCGGGGGAUACUGCUCGGCUAGGGGACGAGAGAGGCAGACGGUAUUUUCGGGGUAGGGGUGAAAUCCUAUAAUCCCGGGAAGACCACCAGUGGCGAAGGCUGUCUGCUAGAACGCGCCCGACGGUGAGGGAUGAAAGCUGGGGGAGCGAACCGGAUUAGAUACCCGGGUAGUCCCAGCUGUAAACGAUGCAGGCUAGGUGUUUGGGCGGCCACGUGCCGCUCUAGUGCCGCAGGGAAGCUGUUAAGCCUGCCGCCUGGGGAGUACGUCGCAGAGAUUGACUUAAAGGCC
rnacentral:rRNA from 1 species